rnacentral:rRNA from 1 species
UACGGAGGGUGCGAGCGUUGUCCGGAAUCACUGGGCGUAAAGGGCGCGUAGGUGGCGGGGUAAGCGUGCGGUGAAAGCUCGGGGCUCAACCCCGAGUCGGCCGUGCGAACUGGUGGGCUUGAGCACUGUAGAGGCAGGCGGAAUUCCGGGUGUAGCGGUGGAAUGCGUAGAGAUCCGGAAGAACACCGGUGGCGAAGGCGGCCUGCUGGGCAGUAGCUGACACUGAGGCGCGACAGCGUGGGGAGCAAACAGG